GAUGAACGCUGGCGGCGUGCCUAAUACAUGCAAGUCGAGCGAACAGACGAGGAGCUUGCUCCUCUGACGUUAGCGGCGGACGGGUGAGUAACACGUGGAUAACCUACCUAUAAGACUGGGAUAACUUCGGGAAACCGGAGCUAAUACCGGAUAAUAUAUUGAACCGCAUGGUUCAAUAGUGAAAGACGGUUUUGCUGUCACUUAUAGAUGGAUCCGCGCCGCAUUAGCUAGUUGGUAAGGUAACGGCUUACCAAGGCAACGAUGCGUAGCCGACCUGAGAGGGUGAUCGGCCACACUGAAACUGAGACACGGUCCAGACUCCUACGGGAGGCAGCAGUAGGAAUCUUCCGCAAUGGGCGAAAGCCUGACGGAGCAACGCCGCGUGAGUGAUGAAGGUCUUCGGAUCGUAAAACUCUGUUAUUAGGGAAGAACAAAUGUGUAAGUAACUAUGCACGUCUUGACGGUACCUAAUCAGAAAGCCACGGCUAACUACGUG
rnacentral:rRNA from 1 species